rnacentral:rRNA from 1 species
AGUGGCGGACGGGUGAGUAACGCGUGAGAAUCUGCCUUGGGGUCGGGGACAACCACUGGAAACGGUGGCUAAUACCGGAUAAGCCGAUUGGUGAAAGAUUUAUUGCCCGAAGAGGAGCUCGCGUCUGAUUAGCUAGUUGGUGAGGUAAGAGCUCACCAAGGCAGCGAUCAGUAGCUGGUCUGAGAGGACGAUCAGCCACACUGGGACUGAGACACGGCCCAGACUCCUACGGGAGGCAGCAGUGGGGAAUUUUCCGCAAUGGGCGAAAGCCUGACGGAGCAAGACCGCGUGAGGGAGGAAGGCUCCUGGGUUGUAAACCUCUUUUCUCAGGGAAGAAGAUCUGACGGUACCUGAGGAAUCAGCCUCGGCUAACUCCGUGCCAGCAGCCGCGGUAAUACGGAGGAGGCAAGCGUUAUCCGGAAUUAUUGGGCGUAAAGCGUCCGCAGGUGGCGAUUCAAGUCUGCUGUCAAAGCACGGGGCUUAACUCCGUAAAGGCAGUGGAAACUGAAUAGCUAGAGUGCCGUAGGGGUAGAGGGAAUUCCCGGUGUAGCGGUGAAAUGCGUAGAGAUCGGGAAGAACAUCGGUGGCGAAAGCGCUCUACUGGACGGCAACUGACACUCAGGGACGAAAGCUAGGGGAGCGAAUGGGAUUAGAUACCCC